rnacentral:sRNA from 4 species
AUCCCCCAAACCAAGGGGGGAUGAGAACCACCGACCGGGGUUCGACAACUGGCGCAGCCUGUUGGACAGACCGGCCGCACAGCGAACGGGCUGCCCCGAAGGGGCGAGCAAAGCGAGUCAAUCCCCCCUCACCGCCA